rnacentral:tRNA from 1 species
GGAGGGUGGCGCUCAGUGGUGGGGUGCGAGCUUAGCAGGCACGAGGCCCUGGGUUCAAUCCCCAGUCCCUCCG